rnacentral:rRNA from 1 species
AUCAGCCUUUCGUGUGCGAUUCUGUGGAGUUUGAGGAGCUUAACACCUUCAUGCUUUGCAUAUUCGUGCUCUUGGGUGUACUUGCCCGUGUGGUUGGUUAACAUCAAUUUUGGUGGUCAUAAAAUGACUGGAGGAAUGUAGCUUCGAUCUUGUAUUGAAGUGUUAUAGCCUUCGGUAGAUGUGAUGAUCGAGAUUGAGGAUUGCAACGGAUACCCUUCGGGGCUACCUGUCUGAUCUCUGAUCGUUGCUCUGGUGCCGAAAGCUUGCUUACGGUUAUCAAAGUCGAUGGUCAAUAGGUUAGAACGGGUUAAAUUCGUUAAGGAUGUUGACGUAAUGGCUUU